CGAGCGGUAGAGAGGUGCUUGCACCUCUUGAGAGCGGCGGACGGGUGAGUAAUGCCUAGGAAUCUGCCUGGUAGUGGGGGAUAACGUUCGGAAACGGACGCUAAUACCGCAUACGUCCUACGGGAGAAAGCAGGGGACCUUCGGGCCUUGCGCUAUCAGAUGAGCCUAGGUCGGAUUAGCUAGUUGGUGAGGUAAUGGCUCACCAAGGCGACGAUCCGUAACUGGUCUGAGAGGAUGAUCAGUCACACUGGAACUGAGACACGGUCCAGACUCCUACGGGAGGCAGCAGUGGGGAAUAUUGGACAAUGGGCGAAAGCCUGAUCCAGCCAUGCCGCGUGUGUGAAGAAGGUCUUCGGAUUGUAAAGCACUUUAAGUUGGGAGGAAGGGUACUUACCUAAUACGUGAGUAUUUUGACGUUACCGACAGAAUAAGCACCGGCUAACUCUGUGCCAGCAGCCGCGGUAAUACAGAGGGUGCAAGCGUUAAUCGGAAUUACUGGGCGUAAAGCGCGCGUAGGUGGUUCGUUAAGUUGAAUGUGAAAUCCCCGGGCUCAACCUGGGAACUGCAUCCAAAACUGGCGAGCUAGAGUAUGGUAGAGGGUGGUGGAAUUUCCUGUGUAGCGGUGAAAUGCGUAGAUAUAGGAAGGAACACCAGUGGCGAAAGGCGACCACCUGGACUGAUACUGACACUGAGGUGCGAAAGCGUGGGGAGCAAACAGGAUUAGAUACCC
rnacentral:rRNA from 1 species